rnacentral:lncRNA from 10 species
UUUUUGUAUUGUUCCACCGCAAAGCUACUAGCUUGCGCACCUACAUUCGCUCUGCAGAUAUUUGUUGCAUGGGACACAGCCCUAGGAAAAAGACAACGAGCUCCCUGCCGUUGUUGAGUUUACAGUCCAUUGGGGAGGACCCACCUAAAACAUGAUGUUUUCAGAUGAUUUCCUACAUAUCCUUUAUACAAGAAGAGUAACCUCACGGUGACUACGGAGGGACUGCUCUUAGAGGGCAGUCAAGGAGGGCCUUUCUGAGGAGGUGGCACUUGAGAUGAACCUGGAGGGAUGAGAAAGAGCCACAUAUGAAAUGACAGAGCAAACAGCAGGAGGGAGACGGGAUCUCCAGUCAGACCUGGCUCCUUCUCAUCCCUCCUGGUGGGCAGAGGAGGACGAAAUCACAAAAGCCUUGAGAAGCCUGGGGAAAGGAGUCCUGCUAAGCAGGUGUGUUGUGAGUGUCAGAGGCGUGUGAACCAGAGCAACUCCAUCUUGAACAGGAGCUGGGUAAAAGGAGGCUGAGACCUACUGGGCUGCAUUCCCAGACGGUUAAGGCAUUCUAAGUCACAGGAUGGGAUAGGAGGUUGACACAAGAUACAGGUCAUAAAGACCUUGCUGAUAAAACAGGGUGCCAUAAAGAAGCCGGCCAAAUCCCACCAAAACCAAGAUAGCGACAAGAGUGACCUCUUGCCAUCCUCACUGCUACACUCCCGCCAGCGCCAUGACAGUUUACAAAUGCCAUGGCAACAACAGGAAGUUACCCUAUAUGGUCUAAAAAGGGGAGGCGUGGAUAAUCUACUCCUUGUUUAGCAUAUCAUCAAUAAAUAAUCAUACAAACCAGCAGCCCUCGGGGCUGCUCUG